rnacentral:piRNA from 1 species
UCCCUCACCAAGUGUUGCAGUAUUCGA